UACGUAGGGUGCGAGCGUUGUCCGGAAUCAUUGGGCGUAAAGGGCGCGUAGGUGGCUUCUUAAGCGUGCGGUGAAAGCCUGGGGCUCAACCCCGGGUCGGCCGUGCGAACUGGGGGGCUGGAGCACUGUAGAGGCAGGCGGAAUUCCGGGUGUAGCGGUGGAAUGCGUAGAGAUCCGGAAGAACACCGGUGGCGAAGGCGGUCUGCUGGGCAGUAGCUGACACUGAGGCGCGACAGCGUGGGGAGCAAACAGG
rnacentral:rRNA from 1 species